GCUCUGUUCUUUGACAGAAAGGAAAAGGAAAAAAAAAGAACAAGGCACGAGAGAGAGAGAGCUCCAUUCGAGAGCAGAGAUAGGACGGACGAUAGAGGGGUAGAGAGGGUAGCCGGGAGCUCGGGAUGAAACUCAUGCAAGAGAGGGUCGAGUUUCAGCUCUGUUCACGGGAAGAAGAACAGAGCAGACCCGAUUAGAGAAACAACGCGAGGGAGAAACGACGGCAGAGCAAGAUCGAAGAAGAAGAGGAAGAAGAGAAAAAGGAAUGAAAGGUUAGGGGAGUCUUCCAACCUAGCUUGCAUUCGGGUAACGGGGAGGGCUCUGUUCUUCGACAGAAAGGAAAAAAAAAAAUAGGGCACGAGAGAGAGAGCUCCAUUCGAGAGCAGAGAUAGGACGGACGAUAGAGGGGUAGAGAGGGUAGCCGGGAGCUCGGGAUGAAACUCAUGCAAGAGAGGGUCGAGUUUCAGCUUUGUUCACGAGAAGAAGAACAGAGCAGACCUGAUUAGAGAAACAACGCGAGGGAGAAACGACGGCAGAGCAAGAUCGAAGAAGAAGAGGAAGAAGAGAAAAAGGAAUGAAAGGUUAGGGGAGUCUUCCAACCUAGCUUGCAUUCGGGUAACGGGUAUGUUUAGGUAUUUUGCUUAAUUGCUUUCUCUGAUUUCAUGAGCUUUUCUUGUAUUUGAUUGUAUUAUUCUUGUCGUUCCUUUGGAGUAAUUAAGCUAGCUGAGUUAUUGAAUUUGGGAAUUGGAAAAAUGGGUUGAUUUGGGAGUUGUGGAUUAAUGGCUAAUUGAGGUAGAAAUACAGAUGCUCUUGAGUUUCACUGUAAAAUUGCUAGAUUUUCGCAUUUUAAUUUGGGUGGGUGAAACUUUUUCUUUCAUUUGUUAGGCCUCCCUUUAUUUAGUGUUAAUUGUUUUAAUAAAUUAGGAAAUAGGAAGGGUAUCUUGAGUGUGUAAGUUUAGUUACAAUGGGCUAUAUCGAUAUUAGGUAUUAUCUUGUUUGAUAAGGAGAAAGAUCUCUUGGCUUAGGCUUU